rnacentral:piRNA from 1 species
UCAGCAUUGUCAAAAUAUAUU